ACCCAGAUGACGAGUCCCAAAUAGGACGAAAUGCACAUCCUGGAU
rnacentral:hammerhead_ribozyme from 1 species